AGCAGACUCCCUGCCGAGCAGGGAGCCCGAUGCGGGACUCGAUCCAGGGACUCCAGGAUCAUGACCUGAGCCGAAGGCAGUCGCUUAACCAACUGAGCCACCCAGGCGCCCUAGAAACAUAUUUUCAAAGAAGAGGGUUGGGUUUUGUUUAAGCCACUUGUCUUCAUCGGAUUCCAACUGGGAUAGUCUCAUGUGUGAAUUUUUUUUCUUCUCACUUCUUAUCACAGAUAAUUAACAAGAAUUUGUGGAACACCCACUCUGUUCAGAGCACAAUAAUAGUAUGCCAUUGUUUAGAGUUCAAAACAAGUUGCUAAUUCAACAACCCCCAUAAAAGAGAUUUUAUUUAUUUGAGAGAGAGAGAGAGAGAGAGCAUGAGAGGGGGAGGAUCAGAGGGAGAAGCCGACUCUCUGCUGAGCAGGAAGCCCAAUGCAGGGCUCAAUCCCAGGACUCCAGGAUCAUGACCUGAGCUGAAGGCAGUCGCCCAACCAACUGAGCCACCCUCAAAAUAUCAUUUGGAGGCUGUUGAGCUGAAGUCGGCUUCUCUGCAGUCUGAAGUUAUUCCAGACGGUGGCUAGGAUGAUUUUCUCGCCUUCCCUUCCUCAGAUGUGGAGCCCCGGUGGCGGGAGAGGCCAGAACAGUGCACACGUAACUUGCACACGUACAUACCCCCCUCCCAAUUAAUGUAAAGGUCCCAACAUAAACACUGGUUCUCACAAGGGUUCCAAGGAUUUUAAAAGCUUUGGUGUUGUAAAAAAAUAUUUAGUCAGCUUGUGACAGCUACAAUCCUGCUCCUGUUUCAGCUUUUAAAAAAAAGAAGAAGAAAAGGAAACCAUACUCAUUUCUUCCUUCCACAGCUCAGUGACGUUCCAAAAAGUAGAAAGAAUCCCUUAGCUUGCCUCACUGGUAGAAAUGCCUGGCUGGGACAUUCCUUUGGCCACUUGAGCUGAAAGCUGCAUACCUCGGGGACUGAAGCGUCCCUGCUUGAGUCUCCUGUCUGAGAACCGACUGAGAUGUGCCCACAAAGAUCGGAGAACUCUGUGCAAAACCCCCAGAGAAAACAACACAAAACCACACCUGACCCCAGACGGAGGCUGCAUUUCCAGAGUGAAAACACAGCCCCUGAGAUAGCGGCAUCCCUCGGGAUCCCUUUUUAUUUUGACUGCUGAGCAGGUAACUACUGUCUUAGGAGUGUUUCCAACAUAACCAAGGAAAUAAAUGUCGGAAACUCUUUCACCCGGUGAAAUCAGACAGCUGUCAAUAUGACUCACUGUGCUAGCCUACUCCAAGAAGCCAUCCUUACGAGCGAAGGAACCUGCCCUGUAGGAAACGGAAAAGCUGACCUGGCCUCUUCUAUCUAGGAUACUCACGCUCCUGACCCUUUUGCUGCAGUAGCUUGGGCUUAAUUCAUUGUUGUAUUUGGCAAUGAGCGAGUGACAAAAACAAGGGUAUUAAUAAUGAUAAUAGACAUUUGAACUUCCUGGGUACACUAUGUGCUUGUACCCAAGUGCUGAAUAGAAUUUUUAAAAAAGAUUAUUUGUGUGGGUGCGCAAUGAGACUAAAAUCUGCCACAAACUUAAAUCACUCAUUUUCCUUUGUCCCGGAAAAACACAUUUUUUUUUUUUUUUGUCUCUGCAGCAUUUGAAUCAACUCUCCUUUCCUAAUUUUGGCAUUUGAAAGGGUUUUAUGACAUGAAAUGACUUUAUUUAUGUAUUCGGCAACUCAUGCCACAAAGACUUAGGGCCUGCCAAUUAAAAACAGCAGCAAAGGACUGAAGCCAUUUGACGAUUUUCCAUCGAUGAAAUGGUUUUCCAUCAGCGGCAAGCGCCUUGCAAAAUGAUACUGCUAUUUGCUGACUCAAAUGCCAUAAAUCUAGUUGUCUUUCUGGUUUUGUGGCAAAUCCCACCUGCUGGGUCUUGGUUGGUAACUUGUGGAUUUUGGUCUGGCUGCCAAUUAUUGAUCCCUCUUCCCCAUCCCUCCCUUAUUAGAAAGGUAAAAAAUCAGUUAGAAUUGUAGGUGCUGGGAAAACAGGGGUCCUAGUAGGAGCCCCCUGUGGGUGGUACCGUUUAUGAACUGUGAUUUAUGGAAUUCAAAUCCCUGGGCAACUGAAGUCUGCUGCAGAAGUUUUCUUGGCAUAUUAAAAUUUGCCCACAAGAGAGUUUACCAGAAAAGGAAUCCUCAAGGUAAAGAGCUGGUGUCUACAUCUUUGCCUCAGAUGGUCAGAUUUCUGGGAAAAUCUCAGCUAGGAGCUCUUCUGAGAAAUAAGCUGACAUCACAGGGUUCAAGGACUUACCGCCUCAAGACUCUAAUGCUCUAGAAAUUUGCCAAAGCCACUUUUUGUUUAAAAUUGACUCUAGGGGCGCCUGGGUGGCUCAGUUAAGCGUCUGCCUUCAGCUCAGGUCAUGAUCCCAGGGUCAUGGGAUGGACCCCCACAUCAGGCUCCCUGCUCAGUGGGGACUCUGCUUCUUCCUCUCCUCAUUCCCCCCUGCUCAUGCGCACUCUCUCCCUCUCUCUCAAAUAAAUAAAUAGAUAAAUAAAAUCUUUAAAAAGAUAAAAUAAAUAAAAUAAAAUUGACUUUAGCUUGUAGUCACAUGCACUGAUGGCUCCUUACAAACAAAUGGAGAAGCCGUGCUCCAGGAGCGAGUGUCCUCUGCUGUGAGGGACUCCAGCAGUUUGUAUGGUUAGGACACUGGUAAGAAUACAUUCAGUGGAAACCUCCAGCAAAAGCAAUUCAUACAUUUAUCUCUAAUGCCUUUUCUCCCAUAAUUUGGCCUUCUUAAAGAAACUGAUCCACCAAAUUGCACUUUUGGCAUUCUGAAAAGGCAACAUUAUCAGUGACUAAAGAGAGUAAAUUAAAGCUAGAAGAUGUUUAGGUGUUUAAAUGACCUAAUCCAAUCCUUAACAACUACUUAUCUGACUCCCUGCCUUCUUUUUCUACCUUUUUUUAAAUUACAAAAGUAGAGCAUUAAUACAUGAGAUAAGAAUUAUACAUGGAGGGGCGCCUGGGUGGCUCAGCUGGUUAAGUGGCUGCCUUCGGCUCAGGUCAUGAUCCCAGAGUCCUGGGAUCGAGCCCCACGUCGGGCUCCCUGCUCAGCAGGGAGUCUGCUUCUCCCUCUCCCUCUGCCUGUCUCUCUGCCUACUUGUUCUCUCUCUCUCUCUGUCAGAUAAAUAAAUAAAAUCUUCUUAAAAAAAAAAGAAUUACACAUGGAGUUAUUAAAGCACAAAAAAUUUUUUUAAAGAUUUAUUUUUUUAUUUGAGAGAGAGGGCAUACGCGUGAGAGAGCAUGAGGAGAAGCAGGCUCUCCACUGAGCAGGGAGCCUGAUAGGGCCUCGUCGAUCUCAGAACCCUGGGAUCAUAACCUGAACCAAAAGGCAGACGCUUAACUGACUGAGCCGCCCAGGCGCCCCUACAGCACAAAAAAUUUUUUUAAAUCUUUCAUGGUUCUCACAGUUAGAAACAAGCAUUGUAAUCAUGUUAGUGUAUUUCCUUCCAGUCUUUCUGCAAUAUCAAAAUUUUAUGUAUUUUGUAUCAUAAACUGUAUGUAUUACAUUAUAAUGUAUUAUAAAUUGGCAGGCUUACUAUAAACAAUUUACAUGCAGAAAUGAAUAAAGGAGAAACUAACAUUUCUUAUAAUGACAACCCACAAUAGUCACAGAAAUAAUUACUGUGAAAAGUUUGAUAAUAUUACCUAUUACACAGCAAACUUAUAUACCCAUUAUAUGUUAUAUGUAUUAUGUAAUGUUGAUAUAUAAUAUCUAAUAGUUAUCUGUUAUAUAUGCUGACUUGAUAUUUUUACCAAAUGGCUUCUACUAUAUGUUCUGUUCAGCAAUUUGCUUUUUUUUCAUAAUAAUAUAUCUAAACAUCUUUCAGAGUCCAGAUAUGUGUAUCUACUCCAUUUUAAAAAUGACAAUAUAGUAUUCCACUGCAUGGAUGUUCCAUACUUUACGUAAUCCCUACUGAUGAAGAUUUCUUUCUUUUUUUUUUUUUUAAGAUUUUAUUUAUUUAUUUGACACAGAGAGACACAGCAAGAGAGGGAACACAAGCAGGGGGAGUGGGAGAGGGAGAAGCAGGCUUCCCGCUGAGCAGGGAGCCUGAUGUAGGGCUCGAUCCCAGGACCCUGGGAUCAUGACCUCAGCCGAAGGCAGACUCUUAACGACUGAGCCACCCAGGCACCUCAAGAUCUGUUAUUUCUAACUUUUUGCUAUUAUAAACAAUGCAGUGACCAUUCUUCCAUAUUUAUCUUUGCACACCUGUUUGGGAAGCAGAAUUGUUGCAUCAAAAGAUACUGUGCAUCCAUCAAAAAAAGUGAAAUCUUGCCAUUUGCAACGAUGUGGAUGGAACUAGAGAGUAUUAUGCUAAGCGAAAUAAGUCAAUCAGAGAAAGACAAUUAUCAUAUGAUCUCACUCACAUGUGGAAUUUAAGAAACAAAACAGAGGAUCAUAGAGGAAGAGAGGAAAAAAUAAAAUAAGAUGAAAACAGAGAGGGAGACAAACCAUGAGAGACUCUUAAUCAUAGGAAACAAACUGAGAGUUGCUGGAGGGGAGGCGGGGUAGAGGGAUGGGAUAACUGGGUGAUGGGCAUUAAGGAGGGCAUGUGUUGUGAUGAGCACUGGGUGUCAUAUAAGACUGAUGAAUCGCUGAACUCUACCUCUGAAACCAGUAAUACUUUAUAUGUUAAUUGAAUUUAAAUUAAGAAAAUAAAGAAAAAAGAAAAUGUCAAAAAGAUACUCUACAUAUAUUUUUAAAUAUGAUCAUAAUUACAUUAGAU